UACGUAGGCAGCAAGGCGUUGUUCGGAAUUACUGGGCGUAAAGAGUGUGUAGGCGGUGCUCUAAGUUCGGUGUGAAAUCUCCCGGCUUAACUGGGAGGUGCGCCGAAGACUGGAAGGCUUGAGUAUGGGAGAGGUAAGCGGAAGUUCCUGGUGUAGCGGUGAAAUGCGUAGAUAUCAGGAGGAACACCUGCGGUGUAGACGGCUUACUGGACCAUCACUGACGCUGAGGCACGAAAGCGUGGGUAGCAAACAGG
rnacentral:rRNA from 1 species